GAAGUAGGUUGCAAAUCAGAGUUCAUCACCAACCAUUGCAACGAGCAGAAUCAUUAGACAUUAUACAAACCAACCGUGAUAUGUUAAAAAGAGAGGAAGAUUAGUUAUUGGCAAAGUUAAUCAAUGAUUCAGUAAUCACCCGCUAAUUACCACCAAGUAUUCACAAACUUCCUCUGCACAAAUUCUCCCGCCGUCUCUUUGGGCCUAGGGUUUUCAAAUUCGCUCCCCUUUCUUUUCUGGCGGAUUACGUGCACUCGCGCGAAGGGGAUGCCGUUUCAGUAUGCGAGCAUGCCUAUAAGAGUGCAUGAGAACGGCGGGGGAUUUGACAUCAGCUCCCGCGAUGUGGCGAUGGUCAGUACGGAGGAGAUUUCCUCGCCGGUUAGUAGUCAGUCCUUGCUGCUGCUGCCGACAGCCAGGACUAGUGAGCUCACCAUUUCUUUCCAAGGCCAACUCUACGUGUUUCCUGCUGUUACUCCGGAAAAGGUGGAAGCAGUGCUGUUGCUCCUGGAAGGUCGGGAGAUGCCAACCAGCAUUCCCAGUUCUGAACUAUUACAAUUAAGUGAUAAGGGUGUAGAUGAUGAUUCGGACCAGCCUACAGUUUCUCGGAGGACUGCAUCAUUAGAGAGGUUUCGUGAGAAGCGGAAAGAGAGAUGCUUUGAUAAGAAGAUUAGGUACUCCUGCCGGAAAGAAGUUGCUCAGAGGAUGCUUCGGAAAAAUGGCCAAUUUGCUUCUGUUAAGGAUAUGUCCAAAAUAUCUGAUGAUAACUGGGAUUCUGGCAACAGCACUCAACCAGAACCAGUUGUGCAUAGAUGUCACCAUUGUGGAGUUUGGGAAACUUCAACUCCAGCAAUGCGUCGGGGUCCAGAAGGUCCAAGAACUCUAUGCAAUGCUUGUGGAUUAAUGUGGGCAAACAAGGGUACUCUGAGAGAUCUUGCAAAGGGAGGUGAACAUAUGUUCGAACAAAAUGAACCAGUAUGUGAUGUGUUUGAACCUCUAGAAUGCAGUCCUCAUGCUAAUGAAACAACUAAUUCAUACUGCAACCAGUAUGAGGAAACAUAUCUGAUGCCCCAUCUAGAAAUGUGCCAAAAAGUUAUUCCGUUAGUUUUGCCUGCUUGCUCCAAAUAUGUUUAGAUUAACAUUUGGACAAUUUGCUGGACAUAGAACUAAAUCCUUCUUGAGUUAUUCAGAGCCAAGCAAUUCCUAGAGCACAACGAGGUUUCAUUAGCAUAUAGUAUCCUAAAUGAGUACAUGAUACGAAGGCUUCCUCAAUAAUAAUCAAUUUAAAAUAAAAUUCACAAUGAACUCUGACUGGAGUGUAUACUGAUAUGUAUAUUUUGCUCUCUACAGCAAAAGGACCAAGCUAAUGACAAAUUAACUAUGUUGUCAGCACUACAAGAUGAUUACCCCUUAAGUAACUCAACAUAAUCGGCCUUCAUAUAGUUAGCGAAUUUUAGUUGUUGCUUGUCUGUAGCAGGUAAGAAACAAAAAGGCUACACAGUUCUACUGCAGUCCUGAUGACUACGGCCUCAGAAGCUAGAAAAACAUAGUAAUCUUACUGAGUUGCUUGUUUGGUUUAUGUUUGACGGGUGGCAUUUGCAAUUUAAUGUUCAGGUCACUUCAGUUGGUUGAUGAUAGCAUGUUCAUGAUUGAUCCAACUGCAUCAUCUUCUAAAAUUUUCAGGAGUUGAAUGGUAUUACUGAAAGAAUUGCUGACGAUUCAGCAAUUGAAAUAGAGCAUCCAUCCGCAAAUCUUGGUGAGCAGGACUGGAGCCAAAUUCAAGAUCCCAGCUAACUCUGAUGAACUGGUCCGUUCUUGGUGGAACUCAGUAACAGAAAGAUAGACUUCCUCCAUGACCUGAAUAGUUAUUGUGUGCAGGUUGAUGUUGAUCAACAUGUAGGUGCCUAUGGCCUGGGCGGAACCAUGCCAUUUUCGAUCCACUGAGGGGUGACAUUAUCAUGUACAAAGUUAUGCUGAUUGUAGAGAGAUUGCAGAUGAUUAACAUGAAAGUGAAACACUUGGAAAAAGCUAAUUUGCUUCA